GGUCAUCCUCACCAAUCGCCCCAGGUGAUACAGUACCUCUGCUUGGACAAUUUUGAGAAAACUUUCAAGUUUGAAGGACUGUUUCAGAGACCUCUGAGGUAAAAUUUGGGACCAUCUUCAACAGCCCUACACCCUGACCUGUUGAGCUGUAAGAAGUGUCCUGUGCAUCGUCUCAAAAGGAACUGGAAGUCAAAUCCUGCUGGUUAAAGCUGAGAUCAUCUCCACUGGUCUACAGGCUCGAGAUGAAGAAAUAAGCAGGAACUUGCUGCUGCUGUUAUCUUUCUGCUAUGUGAUUGAUUUGUGGCUCAUUCAUAUAUUGUAUACAACACUUCAGAUUGGUUUUAUCCAUUUUUCUUUGGGUGGGAGGAGUAGGACCUGUAUUCAUUAGCAUGUUUGGCAGGAGUCAUCAGAUAGUGUUUAAAGGAUUUGUGAUAAGACUAAACCACUGGGAGAAGGGUGCAACAAAGAGUAAUUAUGAACCAUCAUGAUGUUUAGGAUGUGAGUUUUAAAGUCUUUUUUUUUUACAAUUGAUAGAAGGAUACUUAAGACCAGAUCAA